GACGAACGCUGGCGGCGUGCUUAACACAUGCAAGUCGAACGGAAAGGCCCUGCUUUUGUGGGGUGCUCGAGUGGCGAACGGGUGAGUAACACGUGAGUAACCUGCCCUUGACUUUGGGAUAACUUCAGGAAACUGGGGCUAAUACCGGAUAGGAGCUCCUGCUGCAUGGUGGGGGUUGGAAAGUUUCGGCGGUUGGGGAUGGACUCGCGGCUUAUCAGCUUGUUGGUGGGGUAGUGGCUUACCAAGGCUUUGACGGGUAGCCGGCCUGAGAGGGUGACCGGCCACAUUGGGACUGAGGUACGGCCCAGACUCCUACGGGGGGUAGCAGGGGGGAAUAUUGCACAAUGGGCGGAAGCCUGAUGCAGCAACGCCGCGUGCGGGAUGACGGCCUUCGGGUUGUAAACCGCUUUCGCCUGUGACGAAGCGUGAGUGACGGUAAUGGGUAAAGAAGCACCGGCUAACUACGUG
rnacentral:rRNA from 1 species